UAUUUUCUGCGCUGUUCGUGGAAUUUGCCAUUUAAAACCCACAUUUAUUAAAAGGGAUGCCAUAUUCUCCUGUGGAUUGCAGGCCUCCCGGCAAUGCCGGAUGUUGGAAGCUAUGAAUCAGGGGAGAGGCGACCCACCUGCCGUUAGCGUGCAGGUUAUAAAUCGGCACCACGGCAGAUGCGGGGAAGUC
rnacentral:other from 1 species